CAGCCGCCGCGGUAAUACGGAGGGUGCAAGCGUUACUCGGAAUCACUGGGCGUAAAGGACGCGUAGGCGGAUUAUCAAGUCUCUUGUGAAAUCUAACGGCUUAACCGUUAAACUGCUUGGGAAACUGAUAAUCUAGAGUAGGGGAGAGGCAGAUGGAAUUCUUGGUGUAGGGGUAAAAUCCGUAGAGAUCAAGAAGAAUACCCAUUGCGAAAGCGAUCUGCUGGAACUUAACUGACGCUAAUGCGUGAGAGCGUGGGGAGCAAACAGGAUUAGAUACCCGCGUAGUCCCUGUCUCUUAUAC
rnacentral:rRNA from 1 species